CCUGCUUGCAUGGGGAAUUGUGACAGAUUACUGGGCCCAUCACCUAGUAGAUGUUACUGUCUAUUUUUUACCUGGAUCCUGCCUACAGAAAGGAUUGUGACAAAUCAGUGGGCCAAGCAUCCCGGUGACGUGGCUCUUCUGUCUUAGCAAUUCCUAUAGUUGGAAUAGUGACAUAAACCUGGGUCAAGCAUCUGGGGUAAUUUGUGACAUACUGCUGGACCCAGCACCCAGGUCAUUUGACUCUCCUGCCUUGGCCCUUCCCACAGAGGGCAUUGUGACAUUGAGUGGGCUCAGCAGCUAGGUGAUACGACUUUCCUGCCAGGACUCUUCCAACAGAAGGGACAUUGACCUACUCAGGCUCAGUAUUCAGCCAAUAGAUGAAAAAAGAUUCAAGGAAGACACAUUUGCUUUUUAUUCACUCAUCACUUCCCAUCACUAUGCUGACCAGAGUCAAUGUGAGCAGAGUUGAGAAUAGCAGUUUUCUGGCAGGAGAGCCACUUCUCAGCAAAAAAUGACACACUCAAAGUAUAAAUCUUUCAUGGAAGGCUCACAUAUUUUCAGCAAAUUAAGCAUAUGCAUGAAUAAAAUUCUUGUGGUGAAAUAAAGAUUCAUUUUAUUGA
rnacentral:lncRNA from 1 species